AACUCGAGUGCAUGAAGCUGGAAUCGCUAGUAAUCGCGGAUCAGAAUGCCGCGGUGAAUACGUUCCCGGGUCUUGUACACACCGCCCGUCACACCAUGGGAGUCGGGAAUGCCCGAAGCCGGUGGCCCAAUCGAAAGAAGGGAGCCGUCGAAGGCAGGCCGGAUGACUGGGGUGAAGUCGUAACAAGGUAAC
rnacentral:rRNA from 1 species